rnacentral:rRNA from 1 species
CCUACGGGAGGCAGCAGUGGGGAAUCUUGCACAAUGGAGGAAACUCUGAUGCAGCGAUGCCGCGUGAGUGAAGAAGGCCUUUGGGUUGUAAAGCUCUUUUGUAGGGGAAGAUAAUGACUGUACCCUAAGAAUAAGGUCCGGCUAACUUCGUGCCAGCAGCCGCGGUAAUACGAAGGGACCUAGCGUAGUUCGGAAUUACUGGGCGUAAAGCGCGCGUAGGCCGUUGAGUUAGUUAAUUGUGAAAUCCCAAAGCUUAACUUUGGAACUGCAAUUAAAACUGCUCGACUAGAGUUUGAUAGAGGAAAGCGGAAUACAUAGUGUAGAGGUGAAAUUCGUAGAUAUUAUGUAGAACACCAGUUGCGAAGGCGGCUUUCUGGAUCAACACUGACGCUGAGGCGCGAAAGUAUGGGUAGCAAAGAGGAUUAGAUACCCUCGUAGUCCAUACCAUAAACGAUGAUUGCUAGAUGUUGGAAAUUUAUUUUCAGUAUCGCAGCUAACGCAUUAAGCAAUCCGCCUGGGGAUACGACCGCAAGGUUAAAACUCAAAGGAAUUGACGG